rnacentral:rRNA from 1 species
AAUCCUAGGGUCAAAACCGCAGUCCUCGGUCUAGGCUGGCAGUAUCGUCAGAGGCUAUAACACACAAGCAGAAGCCGUGCCACAUUCCUCCGCCAUUAUCCUGCCGCUCCAAACGGAUGCUGGCCCGGUAAACCGCAACGGCCGCCCCCAAGAAAGCAGCAAGCAAAAUACCAAGUCGGAUCUCAAGCCCUUCCCUUUCAACAAUUUCCCAAGA